rnacentral:rRNA from 1 species
GGCGUGCUAAUACAUGCAAGUCGAGCGAAUGAUGAAGAAGCUUGCUUCUUCUGAUUUAGCGGCGGACGGGUGAGUAACACGUGGGCAACCUACCUAGUAGAUUGGGAUAACUCCGGGAAACCGGGGCUAAUACCGAAUAAUUCAUUUCACCUCAUGGUGAGAUGCUGAAAGGCGGUUUCGGCUGUCACUACUAGAUGGGCCCGCGGUGCAUUAGCUAGUUGGUGGGGUAAUGGCCUACCAAGGCAACGAUGCAUAGCCGACCUGAGAGGGUGAUCGGCCACAUUGGGACUGAGACACGGCCCAAACUCCUACGGGAGGCAGCAGUAGGGAAUCUUCCACAAUGGACGAAAGUCUGAUGGAGCAACGCCGCGUGAGUGAUGAAGGUUUUCGGAUCGUAAAACUCUGUUGUAAGGGAAGAACAAGUACGUUAGUAACUGAACGUACCUUGACGGUACCUUAUUAGAAAGCCACGGCUAACUACGUGCCAGCAGCCGCGGUAAUACGUAGGUGGCAAGCGUUGUCCGGAUUUAUUGGGCGUAAAGCGCGCGCAGGUGGUUUCUUAAGUCUGAUGUGAAAGCCCACGGCUCAACCGUGGAGGGUCAUUGGAAACUGGGAGACUUGAGUGCAGAAGAGGAAAGUGGAAUUCCAAGUGUAGCGGUGAAAUGCGUAGAGAUUUGGAGGAACACCAGUGGCGAAGGCGACUUUCUGGUCUGUAACUGACACUGAGGCGCGAAAGCGUGGGGAGCAAACAGGAUUAGAUACCCUGGUAGUCCACGCCGUAAACGAUGAGUGCUAAGUGUUAGGGGGUUUCCGCCCCUUAGUGCUGCAGCUAACGCAUUAAGCACUCCGUCCUG